rnacentral:rRNA from 1 species
GACGAACGCUGGCGGCGUGCUUAAUACAUGCCAGUCGAACGGAAAGGCCCUGCGCUUGUGGGGUGCUCGAGUGGCGAACGGGUGAGUAACACGUGAGUAACCUGCCCUUGACUUUGGGAUAACUUCAGGAAACUGGGGCUAAUACAGGAUAGGAGCUCCUGCUGCAUGGUGGGGGUUGGAGAGUUUCGGCGGUUGGGGAUGGACUCGCGGCUUAUCAGCUUGUUGGUGGGGUAGUGGUUUACCACGGCUGUGAAGGGUAGCCGGCCUGAGAGGGUGACCGGCCACAUUGGGACUGAGAUACGGCCCAGACUCCUACGGGAGGCAGCAGUGGGGAAUAUUGCAGAAUGGGCGGAAGCCUGAUGCAGCAACGCCGCGUGCGGGAUGACGGCCUUCGGGUUGUAAACCGCUUUCGCAUGUGACGAAGCGUGAGUGACGGUAAUGGGUAAAGAAGCACCGGCUAACUACGUG